UACGUAGGGGGCAAGCGUUGUCCGGAAUCAUUGGGCGUAAAGCGCGCGUAGGUGGCCUCAUAAGUCCGCUGUGAAAGUCAAAGGCUCAACCUUUGAAAGCCGGUGGAUACUGUGAGGCUAGAGUACGGAAGAGGCGAGUGGAAUUCCUGGUGUAGAGGUGAAAUUCGUAGAUAUUCGGAAGAACACCAGUGGCGAAGGCGGCUCACUGGACCGGUAUUGACGCUGAGGUGCGAAAGCGUGGGGAGCAAACAGG
rnacentral:rRNA from 1 species